rnacentral:misc_RNA from 1 species
UGGAAGAAGCCAGGCGCCUUG